rnacentral:tRNA from 1 species
GGGCCUGUAGCUCAGGGGUUAGAGCAUCCGACUCAUAAUCGGCUGGUCGCAGGUUCAAAUCCUGCCAGGCCCACCA